AUUGAUACCACACUUAUGAUAAUAAUUCCAGUCAUUAUUAACGUCAUUUGUUAUGCUGGUAUAAUAAUUACAAUCCGAAGACGGGAAACAUGUGGAUUUAUUCCGGCAAACAGAAGCGAUACAGUUUCUACAGAUGAAAUAAUUCCUAAGGAUAGAGUGAUUUCAAAUGCAAAAAUCAAGACGAUAAAGCUACUAUUAGUUGUAGUAUGUGUGUAUAUAUUAUGUUGGACGCCAAUAUAUGUGGGUGCAUAUUUACAGUUUUACGCCAAUAUAAAAGCUGGAUUGAUAUAUAAUGUGUUGUAUACAUUUGCACCAUUGAACAGUUUUGCCAAUCCAUUAGUGUUUUUGAUAUUUAAUUUCAAAAUGUUUCGAUCAAAUAAGAA